AACGAACGCUGGCGGCACGCCUAACACAUGCAAGUCGAACGAAGCCUUCGGGCUUAGUGGCGCACGGGUGCGUAACGCGUGGGAAUCUGCCCUUGGGUUCGGAAUAACAGUUAGAAAUGACUGCUAAUACCGGAUGAUGUCUUCGGACCAAAGAUUUAUCGCCCGAGCAUGAGCCCGCGUCGGAUUAGGUAGUUGGUGGGGUAAUGGCCCGCCAAGCCGACGAACCUUGGCUCGUCUGAGAGGGUGACCAGGCACACUGGGACUGAGACACGGCCCAGACUCCUACGGGAGGCAGCAGUGGGGAAUAUUGGACAAUGGGCGAAAGCCUGAUCAGCAAUGCCGCGUGAGUGAUGAAGGCCUUAGGGUUGUAAAGCUCUUUUACCAGGGAUGAUAAUGACAGUACCUGGAGAAUAAGCUCCGGCUAACUCCGUGCCAGCCGCCGCGGUAA
rnacentral:rRNA from 1 species